rnacentral:rRNA from 1 species
AUUGAACGCUGGCGGCAUGCUUUACACAUGCAAGUCGAACGGUAACAGGCCUUCGGGUGCUGACGAGUGGCGAACGGGUGAGUAAUGCAUCGGAACGUACCCAGAGGUGGGGGAUAACGCAGCGAAAGCUGUGCUAAUACCGCAUGUGAUCUGAGGAUGAAAGCGGGGGACCGCGCAGCAAUGUUUGGCCUCGCGCCUUUGGAGCGGCCGAUGUCGGAUUAGCUAGUUGGUGGGGUAAAGGCCUACCAAGGCGACGAUCCGUAGCUGGUCUGAGAGGACGACCAGCCACACUGGGACUGAGACACGGCCCAGACUCCUACGGGAGGCAGCAGUGGGGAAUUUUGGACAAUGGGCGCAAGCCUGAUCCAGCAAUGCCGCGUGCGGGAAGAAGGCCUUCGGGUUGUAAAGCGCUUUUGGCAGGAACGAAACGGUGUCCGCUAAUACCGGGCGCUAAUGACGGUACCUGCAGAAUAAGCACCGGCUAACUACGUG